AAUCAAUCACCAACCAAUCAAUCACCAACUAUACAGAUGAUUACACAUGCCAUCAACUACAUUAAAGCAAGGUACCACUAGGUCAUAAGUUAAACAGAAACUAAAUCCAGCAACAACAAGAGCUUGUAUGAUGAUGACGUCCAACAGCUAGAACCAGGGAACUUCACUCACUGCAGACUUCAAGCUGAACAAACUGAACUUGUUCUAUAGCAAUAAACUUCAGUAUACAAUACAAUUCUUGUUC
rnacentral:lncRNA from 1 species